CUUUACUGUAGCCUGGUAUUGGGUUCGGGCUUUGACUGCGCAGGAUAGGUGGGAGACUAUGAAGCUGCCCUUGUGGGGGCAGUGGAGACAUCAGUGAGAUACCACUCUGUCAAGGCUAGAAUUCUAACCGUCUGCCGUUAUCCGGCGACGGAACAGUAUCAGGUGGGCAGUUUGACUGGGGCGGUCGCCUCCUAAAUGGUAACGGAGGCGCGCAAAGGUUCCCUCAGGCUGGUUGGAAAUCAGUCGAAGAGUGUAAAGGCAGAAGGGAGCUUGACUGCAAGAGCAACAACUCAAGCAGGGACGAAAGUCGGCCUUAGUGAUCCGACGGCGCUGAGUGGAAGGGCCGUCGCUCAAUGGAUAAAAGUUA
rnacentral:rRNA from 1 species